CCCGGCACAAGCGGUGGAGCAUGUGGUUUAAUUCGACGCAACGCGAAGAACCUUACCAGGGCUUGACAUCCCCUGACCGCGUAUGAAAGUACGUUUUCACCUCGGGUGACAGGGAGACAGGUGGUGCAUGGUUGUCGUCAGCUCGUGUCGUGAGAUGUUGGGUUAAGUCCCGCAACGAGCGCAACCCCUACGUUUAGUUGCUAACGCGUGAAGGCGAGCACUCUAGACGAACUGCCGUUGACAAAACGGAGGAAGGUGGGAUGACGUCAAAUCAUCAUGCCCCUUAUGUUCUGGGCUACACACGUGCUACAAUGGCCGGUACAGACGGACGCAAAGCCGCGAGGUGGAGCAAAUCCUAAAAAGCCGGUCUCAGUUCGGAUUGCAGGCUGCAAUUCGCCUGCAUGAAGUCGGAAUCGCUAGUAAUCGCAGGUCAGCAUACUGCGGUGAAUACGUUCCCGGGCCUU
rnacentral:rRNA from 1 species